AAUCCUUCUGGUCUCUGCGCGAUUAUUAUUCCUUCAUUUACGUUUUUUUUCUCAGCUAUCGCCAGUGAAAGAAUCCAGCGAAAUAGAAACCAAAGUUUCGGAUUUGGGGAGAUUUUAUUCGGUUUUAUUCUCUGUCGAUCGAUUGCAUCGAUUUCUAUCCUUUCUUUCGUUGCAUCUUGAGGUAUCGGCGGAACGGGCAAUUCUCUUUCAGCAAAACAAAUUGUACUUUUUUGUGAUUAAAUUGUCAUCUUCCGCAAACUGAUUGAAUUUUAAGGAGAAGAGAGGGUUCAGGGCCGCCGGAAUCUCAGUUUUCUGCGAUCAGAACAUCCUCUCUCAUUCGAAGUUUUGCAUUGAUUUCUUAGUACUUUAGAAAAAGAAAGGAAACAAAAGAUAUUCAUAGCCAGUUUACAGAGUUGGAAUUGGAGAAUUGCUGCUGGAGAGAUUGAUUGGAACAGGGAAGGGAGUCCGGGGUUAUGGGAUCUGUUUGUUCCUGCUUGCACAUCGAAGAUUUCGAAGAAUACACACAUGACAAUGCUUCAGUUUAUAGACACUGCAUCUGUUUCAGAUGCUUGGCUCAGCAGUUGAUACAUGCAGACUUUUGGCUGAGUUUGACAGGAUGACAAGUAGAAUGACUGGUUGAAACUUUCAGACAUUUAAGAUGAAAUUAGUAUACAGUUCUUACAUGCAUAAACUUUAUGGAGUAUCAUGGUUUGUUUCGUCAUCUGUGUUCCAAUACUUCUGCAUUGUGAUAAAAAGAAUACAGGAUUGAACUUAAAGCAAACUGGAACUAUAUUAGUUUGAGGGUCGGAUACAAGACAUGACCAACAAAGAAUUUAAUUAUGUUCUGACGAGCAGUGACUAGUGGAGACGCUUUUAUACUUGUGAGGUUUGGUCCCCACAAGCAGUACACGGCUUUAUUUCGAAGAGGGGAAGUGCGUGCUAUCCCUUCGUCCAGGCAGGGGACUGCUCCUUUAGCUUCUGCUGCACUAGUCACAGAUGAUUCUAUACCGGAUACAUACUGCGCUCCUCCAAGGCCUUUACCUUAUGAUGAUCCUAGAUGCUCACGGCCACAAUAUGAUGGACUUAUCUCAAGGCGUGAUAAGUCUUCAAGCCAUUUCCAUGAGGAAUCUGAACCACUGAGAAGAAAUAGUAACGAUACUGAAAUAGAAUCAAGGAGCAGACUAGACAAGUGGCAUGGAUCUAACUAUGAAGGGGGGUCCAAGUUGUGCCAUUCUGAGUCCUCCCUGAAGCACCCCUUGACAGAAGACACAAAGGGAGCGACUUAUUUUUUUCCUUCAUCUGAAGAUGAAGAUGUGUGCCCAAUAUGUCUUGAAGAAUAUACUUCAGAAAAUCCAAGGAUUAUAAUGCAGUGCACUCAUCAUUUCCACCUUAGUUGUAUAUAUGAGUGGUUCGAGAGAAGUGAUGCCUGUCCAGUCUGUGGCAAGAUGAUGGUGUUUAAUGAGACAACAUGAUGGCAAGGUCAAGUUCAGUUGACUUGGAGGAUAAACUUGUAUCUGUGGAUCUGUAAGUAUAGAGGUGAAUUCUGUCAUACCCCAAAGGCUGUGUGUGUCUAUAUUUCAAGUCUGCUCUUCAUUCAAAGGGCAGGUGGAAGUCAUCAUGUGUUUGCUGAUUUGGGAUGUGUUUUCCCUACUGCCCCAGUAUAUCUAUAUGCACAUAGAAGCAUGUGCAGCAUAUACAGUGUACAGAAAAAAAAAAAGUUUCCAGAAAAUGGUCUUCCAUAAGGAAAAUUUCUUCCAAAGAGUUUGUGCUUUAUAUUCUUCACAAUUUGGAUAGCCACGGAAAUGAAGAACCUGGUAUCGCUUGCAGGAAACUUGAUGCUUUGAGGUUGCCUUCAGAGUAUUCUACAGCACGUUUGGGAUUGUCUUUGGGGGCCUGAGAGGACAUAUUUAGCUCUCACUGGCAUUAGUGCAGAAGCACUCAUCUCAUGUGGCAUUUCCAUAUUAAUUACUAUAAUUUGAGCUACGCAAUGCAGAUAAUCCAAUAAGGAGACUGUUGGUGGUGGAUAUGAAAAGCUGGGGGUGGAGAUCUGCAGACUUCCACCCCUUGUAGUUCGUGUUACAUGAAGAGAUUAUCACUACCUCUAAGUUUGUCUAGGGCGAUGCUUCCGAUAUCGCCACCUCCGUGAAAGAUAAUAUCAUUAAAUGUUUGAAAUGAGUAUACUUUCAAUAGGUUCCAUACUAUGAACAAUAAGUAUAUUUCUGAACA